GUCGUCUGCUCACGAUGGUGUAAAAUUCCAAAUGUUUUCAUCACAAAACAUCGGAAUCCUUGAAGAAACCUCGCUGUGUACGUCGUAAGACAUCGUUUAAGUCAUCACCAAUCAUGGGCAAGAGGUCCUCACCAGAUGUCAGUUUUAACUCCACCUCUUGAAAUAACUGCAAAAGCUGGUUUAUUAAGAUGAUGAGGAGCAGCAGUUUCCCUAAAAGAGAUGCACCAGGGUUUUGAUGAGAACACUUAGAUUGCAGCUUCAUCACGACUUCAAACACAUCAUCGCUCGUACUUCAACUUUGUAAAUUACCCAAUACUAGGACAUUAAGGUAGGUUUUUUGAUUUGUUUAUGAAUUGUAAAAAGGUCUGUUUACAAAAUACACUUUGACAGCAUCAUCAAACUGCCUUGUCACACAAGUACAUUUUUCAGCAACUUUGAUUCAAAUGCUGCAGUGCACACAAACAAAACAUUUUGAUGUCUAAGUACUUUUUUUAAGUGUCUCACUAUAUCCCAAAUAAAUUUAUGUAAACAUUCAGAUUGCAUUAUUUUUUUCUUCUUGCGUAUUACCUGAAAGUGGUUGCCUAUAAAUUGCCCCUUGGGACAUGGAUUGGUUGCACUUAUUGUAGUCCAGGCCCCAGGGGAAAGCCAGGAUGUACAAAAAAAACAAGUCCUCUGAAACACUUCCUCUGAAAAUGUUUUACAAUCCAGAUAAAUUGGGCAAAAAAG